AUGAAUUCAAGGUGGUUUCUUUUGGGUUGGCUGGGGGCCCGGCCACGUUCAACGGAGGCCUCCAUAGCACACUCCGGCCCCUACUCCGACACUGUGUGUUGCUCUUUUUCGACGACAUUCUCGUCUUCAGUAAAACUCUGGAAGAUCAUGCCAGUCACCUGCGACAAGUAUUCCAACUGCUUCAGCGAGAUUAGUGGAAAGUGA
rnacentral:rRNA from 1 species